rnacentral:lncRNA from 1 species
AUGCAACACCUACCUGCAGGUGUGUAUAAAAGGCAAAGGCGUGAAUCAUCUGUUUCAAAUCGUCCCUUUCACUGCGCCAAGUGCUGUAGCUCCGGCUUGUUACACAAUAACUUCAGUCCGUGGCUCCAUCAGUUUCCGGCUUUGAAGAUGAAGAACUUUCCUGUCGUGCUUAUUCUCGGACUUCUUGCUGUUGCCCAGACAACACCUGUUACUCCCGUGACCCAGAUUCCCACCAAAGCUGAGGACGAAGUGCUCCGAGAGGCGGUGACGGACGGGUUCCUCAUCGAUCACUUCUUCCCCCGUUCCCUCACAACUGACUCGCCCAAGAGGAACGCGACCGCCCUUCCGUCCCAGCAGCCGUCCUCUGACCCGAAAGAGGAUGCUACAGACGCGCCCGGCGAGGAGACCACGACCCCCGUGUUCGUCCUGCAUGGAGGUGACCACCAUGCAACCACAACCCACAACGUGGUGUCGUCCACGGAGCCCACAUUCCCCAGUUCAGAUUCAUCUCCCACCGAAAGACCUCAGUCUAGCUUUACAUCUUCAUCGGUGCCGAAUGACGCCCAGUCAAACGCCGCCACCACGGACCACAUCCCGGUCUCCCAAACCACCGACGCCGCUGUCUCCAGCUUUGACUUCCUGGGCACUCUGAGUUCAGAUUCUGGGUCUGGACACGAAGAGGAGCCAAGCGAGGAAACGACUGCGAGCUCCAGUGCGGCCUCCGUCUCCAACACAGACACUAGCGCUGCACCAUCAACCGACACCACUGCUCUACAGUCACGACUGUUCGUAGAGGUUGAAGGAUCAGGAUCAGGAUCAGGAACCAUUGCAGAAACUAGCACUACACCAUCAACCUCCACGACCAUUCUUAUGCCGCCCAAAGCUCCACGAGUGCUCACAAAGAGUGCUCCAUCAGAAUCGCCUGAGGUGGAUUCACCGGUUGAAGAGACAAUAAUUCAGAACAGGUCUUUCGAGAACCAGUCCACAGAAGGAGAUCACGAACCGCAAAAAGUGGAAGAAGCUGUCAACGCUCCAUCACCCCGGGGCAAAGAGAAGAGCACACCAGGUUGGAUCAUCAUCCUUGCUUUCAUUGUUGGCGUUGCAGCACUGGUAAUGCUCUUGGCCGCCAUCGCUACCAGAGACAAGUGGAAUAGACCAACUCAACGGGUGACCCAGCCAGAGACCAAGGCCGGCUCCUCAGACCAGCAGAGGGAGGUAGAGAUGGAGACAUUCCUGCACAAGGACGAGCCCGCGGAGAACGGCAAGUCGGCGGAGUACACAGUCAUCCCCCUGGACGAGCUUCCAGAAGAUUAUUCGUCACACUGACGUUCACAAAGAGAGAGAGAGAGAGAGAGAGAGAGAGAGAGAGAGAGAGAGAGAAAGACCCUAAGGAGGCUUGAGACUCAUCACAGAACCACAUGACUGAGGAUCAGAGGAACGCGUCCCCUCGGAGCCGUUGAGCAGAGAGGCCUCCGGUGGACCGACUGGAGAUCUGCAUUUUGUUCCCCCCGCCCGCUGACUUUCAACAACUCGUACCACGCCCUCGCUCUGAAGCUGCAGCGACACUUUUGGUUGAUUUAUUUAUUUUCCAUAUCAACUAUGUCAUCAACUGUAAAAAAAAAAAAGGAAAAAAGGAAAAAAAGAGAUUGCUUGGGUGAGAUUGGACAAAUGCCAUUUAUUUCAAAUACACUUUAAAAAAGAUUGUUUCAUUUCCCGGUUCAUCGUUGUAAAUAAUGAAUUAAUACGCUGUUGUUGUUGCUGUUGUUGUU